rnacentral:rRNA from 1 species
AUUGAACGCUGGCGGCAUGCCUUACACAUGCAAGUCGAACGGCAGCACGGGGGCAACCCUGGUGGCGAGUGGCGAACGGGUGAGUAACGCAUCGGAACGUGCCCAGUAGUGGGGGAUAACCAGUCGAAAGAUUGGCUAAUACCGCAUACGACCUACGGGUGAAAGCGGGGGACCGCAAGGCCUCGCGCUAUUGGAGCGGCCGAUGUCUGAUUAGCUAGUUGGUGGGGUAAAGGCUCACCAAGGCGACGAUCAGUAGCUGGUCUGAGCGGACGGCGAGCCACACUGGGACUGAGACACGGCCCAGACUCCUACGGGAGGCAGCAGUGGGGAAUUUUGGACAAUGGGCGCAAGCCUGAUCCAGCCAUGCCGCGUGCGGGAAGAAGGCCUUCGGGUUGUAAACCGCUUUUGGCAGGAACGAAACGACGCCUCCUAACACGGGGCGCUAAUGACGGUACCUGCAGAAUAAGCACCGGCUAACUACGUGCCAGCAGCCGCGGUAACAC